rnacentral:lncRNA from 1 species
UUCAGGCUGUUUUUGACUUGAAGGUGGGAUAUCACAAGGGACCGGCCCCUAUCUGCCUAGGCAUUUGACUGCCUCCUGUCACUUAUCACUCAUAUGUUUAAAUUUUUAUUUUGUUUUAGGACAUCAAACCUCUAAAAGCCUUCCAUAUCCUCACUUUCAAUUGUCUAUAUCCUAUGUCACUAAAGAAACAGAAGCAAUCAGAAGAGAACUUCCAUUAGCUUCCUCUGUCACCAUCUACCCACCUGCAUUGAGCAAGUUAAAUCUUAUUAGUGUGCCUCCUCCAGAGAAGU